CCUACGGGUGGCAGCAGUGGGGAAUAUUGGGCAAUGGGCGCAAGCCUGACCCAGCAACGCCGCGUGAAGGAAGAAGGCUUUCGGGUUGUAAACUUCUUUUAAGGGGGAAGAGCAGAAGACGGUACCCCUUGAAUAAGCCACGGCUAACUACGUGCCAGCAGCCGCGGUAAUACGUAGGUGGCAAGCGUUGUCCGGAUUUACUGGGUGUAAAGGGCGUGCAGCCGGAGAGACAAGUCAGAUGUGAAAUCCACGGGCUCAACCCGUGAACUGCAUUUGAAACUGUUUCCCUUGAGUGUCGGAGAGGUAAUCGGAAUUCCUUGUGUAGCGGUGAAAUGCGUAGAUAUAAGGAAGAACACCAGUGGCGAAGGCGGUCUGCUGGACAGCAACUGACGGUGAGGCGCGAAAGCGUGGGGAGCAAACAGGAUUAGAUACCCUAGUAGUC
rnacentral:rRNA from 1 species